GGGGGGGGGGGGGGGGGGGGCGGGGGCGGGCAGGGCGGACGGGAGCACAGUAAGAGCUGGCUCGUACGGGUGGCGAGUGGCGGACGGGUGAGGAAUACAUCGGAAUCUACUUUUUCGUGGGGGAUAACGUAGGGGAACUUACGCUAAUACCGCAUACGACCUACGGGUGAAAGCAGGGGAUCUUCGGACCUUGCGCGAUUGAAUGAGCCGAUGUCGGAUUAGCUAGUUGGCGGGGUAAAGGCCCACCAAGGCGACGAUCCGUAGCUGGUCUGAGAGGAUGAUCAGCCACACUGGAACUGAGACACGGUCCAGACUCCUACGGGAGGCAGCAGUGGGGAAUAUUGGACAAUGGGCGCAAGCCUGAUCCAGCCAUACCGCGUGGGUGAAGAAGGCCUUCGGGUUGUAAAGCCCUUUUGUUGGGAAAGAAAAGCAGCAGGUUAAUACCCCGCUGUUCUGACGGUACCCAAAGAAUAAGCACCGGCUAACUUCGUG
rnacentral:rRNA from 1 species